AUGCUCAGUUCAGCAGCACAUAUACUAAAGUUGGAGCAAUACCAAGAAGAUUAGCAUGGCCCCUGCAUGAAGAUGACAUGCAAAUUCAGGAAGCAUUCCAUGUAUUA
ensembl:snRNA U6 U6 spliceosomal RNA